CAGUCGCCGCGGUAAUACGUAGGGUGCAAGCGUUAAUCGGAAUUACUGGGCGUAAAGCGUGCGUAGGCGGUGAGUUAAGUCUGCUGUGAAAUCCCCGGGCUCAACCUGGGAAUGGCAGUGGAUACUGGCUCGCUAGAGUGUGUCAGAGGAUGGUGGAAUUCCCGGUGUAGCGGUGAAAUGCGUAGAGAUCGGGAGGAACAUCAGUGGCGAAGGCGGCCAUCUGGGACAACACUGACGCUGAGGCACGAAAGCGUGGGGAGCAAACAGGACUAGAUACCCGCGUAGUCCCUGUCUCUUAUAC
rnacentral:rRNA from 1 species